UACUUGGGAGACUGAGGCAGGAGGACUGAUUGAGCCUGGGAGGUCAAGGCUGCAGUGACCGAUGGUCACA
rnacentral:miRNA from 1 species